ensembl:lncRNA
CACACACACACACACACACACACACACACACACACACACACACACACACACACACACACACACACACACACACACACACACACACACACACACAUUUUUUUAUUUGUGUCCAGACAACGCUACCCAGACAGGGUCUAUAACCCUAGUGAACUUUGACCUCCAGGGUUAUGACUUUCACAUUUCUAGAAGAUACAGUACAUUCACUUCCUGGUUGUCUAAGAAACUGGAUCCAGUUUGUCCUUUUGUCGUGUAUUAGUAUUUAAUACCUUUUUCCCCCCACAGUUGGCUGUGUUAAAACGGAUGUUAAUAGUGUGGUUAAAGAAGAUGUCGAAGCGCUAAGGAAGAAUUCAAACAGUUAAACCAACACGUUUUUUCUCCAGCUCCAUAAUACAUGGGGACUGUUUAAAUAUACAGUAGCAGCACAUUAACACAAAGUAUUAUUUCAAUAUUAAAAUUACUUUUACAAUACCUUUUAUAACGGAAUGAAAGGAACUCUAAAAUGUCAACAGUCAACAGGAUUGGACGGCAUCCCAGGCCACACCUACAACAGAAUGCUCCAGAACAUUUGGGGAGGGCUUUCGCCAAGGUUCUCCAAACUGAAUUCCAGCCUUGUGAUUGGACACACUGGCUAGGCUUAUUAGGCGCCUGCGUGUUCCACUGCUACAUUGGUAAAGUCAGCAACAUAGCCUGCAUGUUGGGGCCCCAUUUUAUUUAUUGUGGAUUAAUCUUGCAAUUUUAUUUUCUGUUUGAUAUCUAUGAUAAAGAAAUGCUAAAAUAUAUACAAAGAAAAGGCAAUUGACGGAAACGACUCAGGGCUACGACACAAAUCCUACUAUGACAACGUUGUAACGUAUGUUGUUUGGGAAGCUAGAUGCUAAGCUAGCUCAGUCCGUUUGUAAAAAAGAAAAUGAUAUCGACAGAGUUCUCCCAAAGCAAAUGUUUGGUUUGUCACAAGCUGCGCAGUAAUUAAUAAUCAAAACUAAGCGGUACAAGUUCUCUCAAAAGAACACUUUUGGUUUCUUAGUUAAGGAUGAUGUAGAUGCUAGUUAAGGAUAAAGAGAGGACAGAUACUGUCUUCUAAAGAUCCUAGGUGCCGAUGUCCAUUUAAGGCACUUCCUGUCUAUCAUCUUGGAUCAAAUGUUUUCAAAUGGCAGCUGAGCAGAUCAAUCAUCAAAAUAAAAGCUUAUGUUGUUUAGCAGAGUAAUAGCAAUGAAAGUGCUUUGUUGACUGUCAUCUUUAAAUAAUUUUUUAAAUCAUUUGUAAACUUUUAAUAUAUACUAAGAAACCUAACAUUAAUUUGAGUUCUGAGUCAUUAUAUCUGUAGCACUGGUAAUAUUCUUAAUAUUAAACUAUAAUAAUAUUAAACAUUUAAUGCAGCUUUGAUGAUAUUAUGAAAAGAUGAAGAUCUCACAAAGGGAAACUUUACUCUGUUGAC